rnacentral:lncRNA from 7 species
CUGAUCGGUAGGAGGUUACAAGUUGGUGCAAGCCGAUAGAUUCGGGGAAGUUAGUUGGGAUUCAGUCUGAUCCGAGCUUCACCAUGGUAUAAAACGGUGGUCGGGGCCCUUGCCUCAUUAGCAUAGCCUGCUAUAGGGAGCCAGAAGCCAACAAAAUAUGAAGCCAGAGCGCGCGAGAGAGAAGCAUCGAGUAAAAUUGACGGAUUUUGUGGGGCGUGCUCGAGGUCUAUCUUGGGAUGAGGGAGUAUCAGACCACCUGGGUGUUGCUCGUCGGCUCCUGUCAUCGAAGAC